GAGGGUAUAGCUCAAGUGGUAGAGCGUGUGCUCAGCAUGCAUGAGGUCCUGGGUUCAAUCCCCAGCACCUCCU
rnacentral:tRNA from 1 species